rnacentral:lncRNA from 1 species
UACUGGGUUACUUGACAUUUUCCUCACAUCUCCUUAUCACAUCUUAUCCAAAUUGUGUUUUCAUAAAUCACAAUGUUUAGCAGUAGCAGUGAGGUAUCUUAAGGAUGUGUCCCAGCCACUAAACUAUCUCAUCUCAUUUGAAUAUUCCCAACAGCUUGGAGAGGUAAAUACCAUUAUGUCUACUCUACCAUUAAUAUGGAUCAUUUGCUAAUGGAUUAUUCUGGAUAGAACAUUAAAAUGUUCUUAGUUAACCAACUCAAAGAAAUCUAUUUUAAAAUCAAGAAGUCAAAAAAAAUAAAUAAACUCUCUGAGAGCUCAUGCACAUUUUAAUACAAGGAUUAAGACUGAAACCUAGAUGGGUGGUGGUGGCACACACAUUUAAUUCUAGCACUUGGAAGGCAAAGAGGCUAAGACAGGUGGAACUCUUGUGAGUUUGAGGCCAGCUUGGUUUACAGAGUGAGCUCUAGGACAGCCAAGGCUACACACAUACACCAAAAAACUGUCUCAAAAAAAUAAAAAAGAAAGAGAAGAAAGGAAGAUAAAAGAAAGAAGGAAGGAAGGAAGGAAGGAAGGAAGGAAGAAAGAAAGAAAGAAAGAAAGAAAGAAAGAAAAAAAGAACGAAAGAGAAAAAGAAAAAAGAAAAGAAAAAGGAAAAGAAAAAGAAAGAGAAAAAGAAAAAGAUUGAAACCUAACUCAUUUUCUUAAGAGAAAAUUUCCUUUGGAAGAGUUUGAGAAACUUGAGUUUAAGUGGUAAAAUAUGGUUUGAAUGGAAAGAAGUCAAAUCUGUACUGUAAACCAUUAUGUAACUUUGCUUUUCCCAAGGAAAUUUAAUGGCUCAUUCAAAAGCCUGAAAUACCUUCCCAUGAGAAAAGUCAUAAGGAACCAGGGCUUCUAAUCCCAGGCUGUUGUUCAUACUCUUCAUGCAGGUUCAUACUCUUCAUUCUAUUAUUGCUCCACUCCACUCUCCCUAAAAUGUUCUCUCUAUAGCAUUGCUUUCACACCAUUUGGCUGCCCACGACUCAGUGCUUACACCAACCUUUUCCCACCAAAUGUGACCAAGCAGGACUAGCAUAGAGAUGAACCCUCUGUGAGAAAUCAGAAUUCCAGGACGGUAGGAUGACUGUCUUGAUAGAGAGACAACACCAGUCAUGACCAGCUUGGAGUAUGCAUAAUCCCUGUUCCUGGAACUCCAAUCCCUUCACAUCAAUUAUCUCACCAGUCCCUCAUAAUAACCUGGGAGGUAGUAGUCCUUAUCUCAUUCCCAGAUGGGGAAAUGUAGGCUUGAUUUCACCAAUUGCCUAUGGUCUUACAAGAAGGAAUUAAGAACCAGGAUUUGAAUACUAGUCUACCUGACCCUGUAGAUUGUUCCUAAAGACUACAAAUAUAUAUUGCCAAACAAAAGUAGGCAGGAGUUUUGAAUAUAGUUUCACUUUAAUCCUGUUUAUCAUUUUUUUAAAUUGCAAUGUGUGUAAUCCAACUGAGCAAGUCACCCAGGAAGAAUGCUGGAUGUGGGAGAACUCAGAUGUUAGCAAGGGCAUCCUAAGCUGGAACACUGGUUCUAACCUUACAUAAUGCAGGCACAUAAAAUGUUCCCCAACCAGAUAUGCAAUGUAAAUUCUCUCACUGGAUUACACAUCAAAACUGUCAUUCCCAGUGUUGUUAUGGUAUCAUGGCAACUGAUUCAGGUCAGUAUUCAUGAAUUUUAAUUGUUGCAAAACAAUGGAGAAAGCUUUUCACUGACUUCCAGAACUCAAAAAGGUCUUAGAGUUCAUCUAGCCUGAUCAUUUUUAGUUCAUUCUUUAGCAAUGGAGGGCUUGGGGGCAUUAAAACUCUUUAUAACAACUAAAUUCAACCUUAUCAAGGUAUUAUAAUUGAAAGAAGUCAUACACAAAAGAUGAUGGGGAAUUAUAUUCCAUUUAUUAUGUUAUAGCAAAUGAAAUGUAUCUGCAGUCACAGAAAUUCAAACUAUAAUAAGGGAUUUGAUUUCCCAAUAACGCUAUUCUGUUGUAUUCCCAUCCCCAAAUGUAUACAUGAAAUUACUUCAGCUACAUGUUUUUAAAUGUGUAUAGUACAUUGUUCAUGACAUCAAAAAAGCUAGGAAGUAUAAAAAUGUUGAUUUGCUACACAAAAGAUGUGAUAUAUCCCACUAUAAAUACUACAUAAUGGUGGUGUGAAUGACUUUCAAAUACAAAUAGCAGUCAGAAUGUAGUAAACAGUAAAACAGACAAGAUGAAAAAAUGUAAUGUAGUAUGAGAGUGAAUGUCCAGAAAACAAGCUACAGGAAGAUCUGUUACACAAUACAUCCAGAUUAUGUUAAAUAGUCACCCUGGAGAACGGCAAUAACUAGAAGAAGCAUUCCAGAAAUACUGAUCAAUAAAGGAUGUUAGGUUUGGGAACAGAUUUUUUUUUCCUCAUUGAAACAGGUUUAUUCCAGACUUUAAAAGAAGACGUUAAAGAUUUUCUCAAUUAUUUGGGAACAGAAUUUAGUCUUCCCUAUGCACAUUCCCUAUGCUCAACAUUGUAAAAGUCACUAUUAUGGAAAACUGUAAGCUAGAGACUGCUAGAGAAACAACUACAGCAGGGACCAUCUGAAAGGGUAACUGUGACAGCAGCUACUGAAGCAAAAGCUUAACUGUUCUUUCAGAUUUAAUAACUUUGCUUUUAACUCCAAUUAGAAGCUAGAAAUAAAAACAACUUUAGGGAAGCAUAAAGCACUCUUAAAUUCUACUUGUAAGCAAGUUAAUAACUUAAUACAUUAAUUAAUAUGUGAAACACCUAGAAAUGCUGACUUGAUGUGAAUGAGAUGUAGCUUUCCAAUUGAAAGUGCCUAGAUGUCCUCUUUCCGGAUUAAGGAAUUAACUUCAACAAAGAGCAUGAGACAUUAUUGUUUAUCAUGUAGAAUCUGCACUGUAGAGUGAUCAUAGGAAAAGUCAUUUUAUUUGAAUGUCAAUAUGAAUCAUUAGGGACUACCCUAAAACAUCAACAAAGUCACAUCUUACUGUGGUAUUACACUGCACUAUAAUCUAUUGAGUAAAUACAUUAGAAUACUGAGAUCAAUUGUUACCCCCAAGUUUUAAUGAUGUAAUCAAUAAUAAAGGUUUUGCCUGGAGAAUAUUUGUCUAAAACAAACUGGUAUUCCCUGAGAAUAAUAAGAAGUAAUAGCGAUAUUAUUCCCAAAGAAGAGGGCCUAGAAAGACAAAAACAUGGCCCCAGCAAAGUAAGAGCUGGAUGCUUUAAUAUCUGUGGUUGCAGAUUAUGGUUAGAGGUUCACUGGGAGAAGAUACAUGGAGAAUAAUUUUGUUUAUUAUACAGAAAAUCAAAUAGACCUAGAUGAAUGGACCUAAGAAGGU